rnacentral:rRNA from 1 species
UAAAAAGCGUCACAGCUUAACUUCCCUUAUACUUAUAAUUAGUAUACCUCCCCUCAACCCUUCACCAAUACUGAACUUUUUUAUAUUAUUAUAAAAAUUAUUAUGCUAGAACUAGUAACAAGAAAUUGCCCUUCUCCUAAAUGUAAACAUAAGUCAUAACGGACUCCCCAUUGACACUUAACGUAAUUGUAUACUUAUAUAGUAACACUCAUCAAGAAAACCCUAUAAUUUAAAACGUUAACCUUACACUAGAACAUUACAGGAAAGAUUAAAAGAGAGAGAAGGAACUCGGCAAAUUUUAGCCCCGCCUGUUUACCAAAAACAUCGCCUCUUGAUUCCUAUAAGAGGUCCAGCCUGCCCGGUGACAAAGUUUAACGGCCGCGGUACCCUAACCGUGCAAAGGUAGCAUAAUCACUUGUUCUCUAAAUAAGGACUAGUAUCAACGGCAUCACGAGGGCUAUACUGUCUCCUCUCCCUAAUCAGUGAAACUGAUCUCCCCGUGAAGAAGCGGGGAUAUACUUAUAAGACGAGAAGACCCCAUGGAGCUUCAAGCAAUGCAUUUACCCCAUACUCACACCAAAUUAACAAAAAGACCUAAAUGCUAGCUUUGGGUUGGGGAGACCGCGGAGUACAACUUAACCUCCACGACAAACGGGCCACGCCCCUAUCUACGAGUUACAACUCUAAGAAUCAAUAAUCUGAUGUUUAAUGACCCAUAAAUUUGAUCAACGAACCAAGUUACCCUGGGGAUAACAGCGCAAUCUACUUCAAGAGCCCCUAUCGACAAGUAGGUUUACGACCUCGAUGUUGGAUCAGGGUAUCCUAGUGGUGCAACCGCUAC